CGGGGUUCCGAAAUGUAACCUGGAGACCUUGUCCCAGUCCAGACCCGGGUAUAAAUCUUUUGAAACAAGGUAUCAGAGAGGGUGAGAAUCCCGUCUUUGACUUGGAGUUCUGGACGUACGGGCGGGGAUCAAAGAGUCGGAUAGCUUGGGAAUGCUGUCCUAAAUGGGUGGUAAAUUUCAUCCAAAGCUAAAUACAGCCGAGAGACCGAUAGUGAACAAGUACCGUGAGGGAAAGAUGAAAAGAACUUUGAAAAGAGAGUUAAAAAGUACUUGAAAUCGUUAAGAGGUAAGCUUUGAAACCCAGUUAUGCUGAGCUCCAAUAAGCGGUAGCUGAUACGUAGUUCUAAGUCGACGACCUAAAAAGCGUUUGUCUUAGCUGCGGUAAGGUUGCCGUGGUUUGAGGCUUGGUUUGUCAAGGUCAGGUAGUGGUGUGGGAGAAAGCUGGCGGAAGAAGGGCUGCUAGGGGCGACUCUAGUGGCAGUUUAGACGUCCAGCCUAUACCAUGUCACUGCCUGAGGUAAAACUCGAAAACGUGCCACGCGGUUGUAGCAUCCCCGCUAGCCGGUAUCCCGACUCACGAUUGUGUCGUGUUAGGGUGCCGGUGUGUGAUGGUGUUACAAUUGACAGUACGUUCGCGAUCUUGACUAAAUGGUUUUCAAAGACCCGUCUUGAAACACGGACCAAGGAGUCUAACCUAUAUGCGAGUCUUUGGGUGUGAAAACCCUAAGGCGGAAUGAAAGUGAAGGCAGUCUUGUACUGCUGAGGUAGGAAACCCGCAAGGGUGGCACUAUCGCCCGAUCUAACCUUCUGGAAAGAUUUGAGGAAGAGCAUAUAUGUUGGGACCCGAAAGAUGGUGAACUAUGCCUGAUCAGGGUGAAGCCAGGGGAAACUCUGGUGGAGGCUCGUAGCGAUACUGACGUGCAAAUCGUUCGUCUGAAUUGGGUAUAGGGGCGAAAGACUAAUCGAACCAUCUAGUAGCUGGUUCCCGCCGAAGUUUCCCUCAGGAUAGCAGGAACUUUUACAGUUUUAUCAGGUAAAGCUAAUGAUUAAAGGUCUUGGAGUUGAAACAACUUUAACCUAUUCUCAAACUUUAAAUAGGUAAGAAACCUUUGCUUUCUUAAGUGAAGCAGGGUCUCGAAUGGAAGUUCUUAGUGGGCCAUUUUUGGUAAGCAGAACUGGCGAUGCGGGAUGAACCGGACGUUGAGUUAAGGUGCCAAACUACUCGCUCAUCUAGAUACUCCUAAAAGGUGUU
rnacentral:rRNA from 1 species